rnacentral:sRNA from 1 species
AAAGUCUCCGAAGCGAAGUAAUGGCAAUUCGCGACGACGAAAUCGUCGGCGCGCCCAUCUACGAGUUUCGUGUAUCGAGGCCUCAAACCUCAACCCCACUGUUGUAUU